UCCUUCCUUGUUCUCUGCCUAUGCUUUUUAUACACACCAAACUAAAAGUUAAAGAAUGCAAAUUAAAUUUAAUA
rnacentral:misc_RNA from 1 species